UGAAUACGACAAGAUGCUAUAAGUUUAAACUGUAGUAAGGAAGAUUUUGGUUAAAGACUACAGAAAUUAUUCUGAAAGUAAACCAACAGUACCAGAACACCCCUGGAAUAGGUACAGGCUGUCCUUGCUUUGGGGCUAAGUAAUUAAGUUUGACAUUCCUUUGAGAACUUCCUUAGCCCUGUAAGUCUGGUUAUUAAUCAGUUAUACUUAACAUACCAACACCUAGCUUAUCACCAUGGUUAGAGCUGUACUAUGCUGAGACUCAGUGCAGAUCACAAACAAUAGCGUGUUUUGGAUUCAGAGAGCUUGGUUGUCAAAGCAGACAAGGUAACCAGAAAGUAGGGAAAGGGAAGUACAUGACAAUUCAUUAUGAAAAUUGCACUAAACAGCACCUUAGUAUCCCCUUUUUGGAGGAUAAGGCUAGGAAGGAGUAAGUGACAGUAGAUGGAAAGAGAGGUAGAAAAAACAAUACUAAAGGAAGCAGGAGGCAAUUUGAGAAGAAACUAGGGCAAACAACCUCCAUCACAGAACAAAGUCCAACACUGCAUAUUAAUCACUUGCCCAUCAGUCACCAUUAAGCUGCACUGACUCUGCUAAAUUCACUCCCAAGCUCUUCCCCAAGCAUAGGUAAUGAGGAAACAGCCAAACAGGCCCUGCUGUGGCAAGAAAUACCUCCCCAAGAAAGCACAAGUCUGGACACUGCUGGAGUUUCCAACUGAACCACAGAGCUGAUCACAUACUUCACUUCUGCAUCAGCCUUUACCAUCUCCACUAAACUCAGCUGGAAGCUAUCAAAAACAAGAAGCCUUGUCACACCCUUGCAAAGGUUCAAACAGCUCAGCUGUAACUAGCUCAGCCUCCACACCCAGCACUCCCAGAGCUGUGACAUCUCAUAUCCAGACCGCUGUUUUCUGCUGACUGACCGGAGGCAGGUACACAAACUACAUUUAUGGGAACUGCAUUGGAUUUCAUGGGACUGAUGAUACCACGACCUAAGUAGGUGUGAGAAAAGAAGUUUUCUCCCAGCAUGAGUGGUGGCUGAGGACCCAGCAUGCCUGUGUUCAAUCCUAUGCGUGCCUGCAGACAAGUCCCAGGGCUGCUCUGCUCCUCGCCUGCAACACAGGCGUGACGCUCACAGAGCUGUUAACACAAACACUAAACCCCGAAAACAACAAAACAGAGUUGUCUGGCAGAGCCAGGUAAAAGAGGAAUUGAAAGCACUUCAACAGCCACGCUAGGAAGCACGUUUCCUUCGGGGCGGCCGAAGAGGGACAAGCUCGGGUGCAGCCUUCAGGCCGCGGCGGCGGGGGGGAGGCAGGCAGAAGCCUCCG
rnacentral:lncRNA from 1 species